rnacentral:rRNA from 1 species
CCUACGGGAGGCAGCAGUGGGGAAUAUUGGGCAAUGGGCGCAAGCCUGACCCAGCAACGCCGCGUGAAGGAAGAAGGCUUUCGGGUUGUAAACUUCUUUUCUCAGGGACGAAGCAAGUGACGGUACCUGAUGAAUAAGCCACGGCUAACUACGUGCCAGCAGCCGCGGUAAUACGUAGGUGGCAAGCGUUAUCCGGAUUUACUGGGUGUAAAGGGCGUGUAGGCGGGGACGCAAGUCAGAUGUGAAAACAACGGGCUGAACCUGUGGCCUGCAUUUGAAACUGUGUUUCUUGAGUACUGGAGAGGCAGACGGAAUUCGUAGUGUAGCGGUGAAAUGCGUAGAUAUGAGGAGGAACACCAGUGGCGAAGGCGGUCUGCUGGACAGCAACUGACGCUGAGGCGAGAAAGCGUGGGGAGCAAACAGGAUUAGAUACCCGAGUAGUC